UUGGAGAAAGUUGAUCCUGGCUCAGGAUGAACGCUGGCGGCGUGCCUAAUACAUGCAAGUCGAACGAACUUCCGUUAAUUGAUUAUGACGUACUUGUACUGAUUGAGAUUUUAACACGAAGUGAGUGGCGAACGGGUGAGUAACACGUGGGUAACCUGCCCAGAAGUAGGGGAUAACACCUGGAAACAGAUGCUAAUACCGUAUAACAGAGAAAACCGCAUGGUUUUCUUUUAAAAGAUGGCUCUGCUAUCACUUCUGGAUGGACCCGCGGCGUAUUAGCUAGUUGGUGAGGUAAAGGCUCACCAAGGCAGUGAUACGUAGCCGACCUGAGAGGGUAAUCGGCCACAUUGGGACUGAGACACGGCCCAGACUCCUACGGGAGGCAGCAGUAGGGAAUCUUCCACAAUGGACGCAAGUCUGAUGGAGCAACGCCGCGUGAGUGAAGAAGGGUUUCGGCUCGUAAAGCUCUGUUGUUAAAGAAGAACGUGGGUAAGAGUAACUGUUUACCCAGGACGG
rnacentral:rRNA from 1 species